UACAGAGGUCUCAAGCGUUGUUCGGAUUCAUUGGGCGUAAAGGGUGCGUAGGCGGCGCGGUAAGUCGGGUGUGAAAUUUCCGAGGCUUAACUUCGAAACUGCAUUCGAUACUGCCGUGCUUGAGGACUGGAGAGGAGGACUGGAAUUUACGGUGUAGCGGUGAAAUGCGUAGAUAUCGUAAGGAAGACCAGUGGCGAAGGCGGGUC
rnacentral:rRNA from 1 species